rnacentral:lncRNA from 1 species
UGGGUCAUGUCAAAAUGGAACUGGCCGGUUUCGUCAAUGUUUACCACCCGGUUUGGUCAAAGAUUUCACAAUGCAUAACCCGGUUUGGUCAAAUAAAAAAAAAUCAUAAUCGCAUUGCAUUAUAAUAGAUAAUUUAACUUCAGUGUUAAAAAGGAGUUUUGUGACCGGGUCUUUGGAAAACAAAUUCUUUCACAGGACAACGGCUUAU